AUAUGUACCUACCUUAUUUUAGCUGUUAUAGCCUAGUGGUUAAAACAUCCGUAUCCUAAUCGGGAGGUCGGGAGUCCGAUCCCGGGCACGCACUGCUAACUUU